GACGAACGCUGGCGGCGUGCUUAACACAUGCAAGUCGAACGGAAAGGCCCUGCUUUUGUGGGGUGCUCGAGUGGCGAACGGGUGAGUAACACGUGAGUAACCUGCCCUUGACUUUGGGAUAACUUCAGGAAACUGGGGCUAAUACCGGAUAGGAGCUCCUGCUGCAUGGUGGGGGUUGGAAAGUUUCGGCGGUUGGGGAUGGACUCGCGGCUUAUCAGCUUGUUGGUGGGGUAGUGGCUUACCAAGGCUUUGACGGGUAGCCGGCCUGAGAGGGUGACCGGCCACAUUGGGACUGAGAUACGGCCCAGACUCCUACGGGAGGCAGCAGUGGGGAAUAUUGCACAAUGGGCGGAAGCCUGAUGCAGCAACGCCGCGUGCGGGAUGACGGCCUUCGGGUUGUAAACCGCUUUCGCCUGUGACGAAGCGUGAGUAACGGUAAUGGGUAAAGAAGCACCGGCUAACUACG
rnacentral:rRNA from 1 species